GCUUCGGUGGCUUAGUGGUUAGAGCGUCCGCCUCGUAUGCGGGAGGUCGUGGGUUUGAAUCCCGGCAUGGUCAUACCAGAGACU